rnacentral:lncRNA from 1 species
UAAAGUUGAUGCACAUGGCCUCAACUGCCUACUGUCAAAGUCAGAUUAGUAGCAUUCAAGAUCAUGAAGCCAGGUCGCCUGAAAGUUAACUUCUGGUUAGUGUUUCAUUGGUUUUCUGCAAAAAACCUCUUUGUUAACUCAUACAAGACCUAGGCUUUCCAAGAUGCAAUCUAUUGUUGUGUGUAUAUUACCUUUUAUAAAGUAACAUUGUCAUACAGGUCCCUCUUGUUUUAAUACUUUUGGGUAUUAUUAAUGAUUAAUUGUCUAUUCGUAUUUGCGAUGCUCAUUUCGAGGAUUAGGACUUGUAGUUCAAAUUGUACGUGAUCAGCGUGCAUGCUCUUUUUAUGAUUUUCUACCAUCAAUGACUAAUUGAAGAUUCAAUGAACUGUCUUCAUCAUGCAUGCAUAUUGGUAUAUUUAUGGACAUGAUGUGGAUUUAAGAUCUCUUGGAGGCAUUUGUACAUGGCUUAAGCUCUUCUCUACACACAUAAGGAUGUAGCAGUACACAUCUAAACAAUGCAACAUUAAUUGGAAAAACAAAGUGAGAAUAUCUUCUUCCCUCCAUGAUUGGUUGCUGCUGUACGCCCCACACUUGUGCUAUCGACUUUGUUGCUUCUCUUACUUAGGGCUGAAAGCCUGCAUUUUAUAGUGAAGACAUUGUCAGCUGUUAAUUUUAAUGAAAUUUGUUGUGCCAAAUUUCAGUGGCGAUAGGUAUCAUUAAUGCUUGAUGCUUGAAAUUGUAAUGUUUCACUUACAGAAAAUAUGGUGGCAUGGCCAGGAUCGGCAAGGUGAGCAAAGAGGUUAUCGAUGGGUCCUGUUCCAGUGUAGAUAUGUUGGAACCAUGCUCCCAUGACUGCCAACAUUGCCAGCCUUCCAUUCUUGAUUUCCUUUGUUCUCAACUCCUUCAGUUUUUCUGGUGAUCCGGAGCCCCAUCCGAGCGGGUCGAACCACAGCCCACCGGGGUAGCCAACGUCGGUUCCAGUAAGCUUGUUGUUGGGGAAUAUGGGAUCAGUGUUGACAGAUCCGGGCUUGAUGAUGUCUGCCCAUCUUCUUCCCUCGGCCCAGCCAAUGAGAACCAACUCGACAACGAAGAGUGUCGUUGUGUCGGUGAAGUACUCUUGUUCACCGGCAGUGUACCACGAAGGGGUGUUGAGAAUGCCGAACUUGGUAAGUAACUCAGGGAUGAAAAUACCGGCAGCGCCCAGCAUGGCCCAUCUGCAGUGAACGAUCUCCGCCUGCUGGUUCCAUUUCAAGCUCUCCGG